GAUGAAGAACGCAGCGAAAUGCGAUACUUGGUGUGAAUUGCAGAAUCCCGUGAACCAUCGAGUCUUUGAACGCAAGUUGCGCCUCAAGCCAUUAGGUUGAGGGCACGUCUGCCUGGGCGUCACAUAUCGUUGCCUGAUGCCAGUUUCCUCGUGAUGGGUGACUGUGCAGGGCGAAUGAUGGCUUCCCGUGAGCAUUGUUGCCUCAUGGUUGGUUGAAAAUUGAGUCCUUGGUAGGGAGCGCCGUGAUAGAUGGUGGUUGAGUGACGAACGAGACCCAAUCAUGUGAGGCCCCUACCGAAUUUGGCCUUCAUGACCCACAUGCGUCUUUGGAACGCUCAUGACGAGACCUCAGGUCAGGCGGGGCUACCCGCUGAGUUUAAGCAUAUCAAUAAGCGGAGGA
rnacentral:misc_RNA from 1 species